rnacentral:lncRNA from 1 species
CACCCAAUCCGAAUCUUGAAGUACUUCCUCUACCCUGUGUGGCUCAAUAGAGGAAACAAAAGAGUAAUGUUCAUAAAAAUGAGCAACACGAGAUCGAGUAGUUACCCCCUGUCACACCCAGCUUUAAGGAACAAAGCCGGGUGCAUCUCAUACAUGCGCCAAAGAAGACAACAUAUAUAAUAACAGAGUGUAUAGAGAUAAAUGUCAUAAAACAUCAGAGUAUUUAUUACAUAGCGAAAGACUUAAUACAAAAUAAAAGAGUAAACAUAAAACGAACUAAGGAUCGUCGGCGCCAAUGUCAACUGAGAAACGCCACCUAGAUCAGAUCAUACUCCUCGCCUUGUGGCUCCUCCUGAACCACCUGCUCUUCUCCUGUGGGGGGUGUGAGAAAGCAAGGGUGAGCUCACACAUGAUCAUCGCUCAACAAGUUGUGGGGAAUAAUGUGACAUGAACUCACCAAAGGUGGGAGUUCAUGAAGUGUAAGGCUGAUCAAUGAUAUAAGGCUGAAGCUGAGCAUUGCUUUUAAGUUGGUCAAAAUUUUAUUAGGAAUUACUAAGUGUAAGUAAAUACCAAACCAUAGUAAUAAUAAGUAAAAGUAAUAAUAAAAUAAUCCCAAAUGUAAUGAUAUGACAAAUUAAGUUUAAGUUCCAUAAAUUAAUCAUGUGAGUGUCCGAGCCGCUCAUGACCGUGAGCACGGCUAGUAUACCAGUUUUACACUCUGCAGAGGUUGCGCAUCUUUACCCACAAGUCAUGUUACCCAUCUGCCAAGGGAUCGCGACUUCCCAUACACCUCUACCGAGGAGGCGAGGCAGGGUAACACUAUGAGGCCUUUACAAAGUUCCACUAGCUUCAGAAAACCCGCUACAGUUUAUAGGAAGCUCCAAUGCAGGGUUCUUGCCUGACCGCCAUCGCAGCAAAAUCAACCCAAGGACCUCCCUACACUGACCACUCCCCUACUGCCCUUGCCCCUUUCAGGUAAGGUAGUCAUCCACUAGCUUUCCUAGUUAAUCAGCCAAGGGCGUCCCAUUAUACCCUUGUGGUAGCACUGUUUUCCCGGGUGGUUCUCCAUGUUCCCAUUAACAUAAUGAUCUUAUCAUGAAUAAUAAUAAACAGAUAAUAAAAAAGUAUAACAAUGAGUGAUGAAUAUCUUUAUACCCAAAGCCACAUAAAGCAAUAACAUAUACUACCCAAAAAGCUUGUAGUAAAACCAGUGGUGAAACAAGGUAUAAAGAUAGUCAAAAUCUAGGGUAACCUAUUGGGUCCCAUCAAAAUUAACCUAUGCAGAUCAUUAUGAUUAAUAAGAACAUGAAUAGGUAAAAGAAGUGAUCAAGGGCACAACUUGCCUUCAAUGAGCUCCUGCUCAGCUACUUCAACCUACUCCUCACCAGGAUCCUCGGUCACGGGCUCUUCUACUCGCCACAAUACAAACAAACACAGUGCAUAUAGAGAAAUUAACAUUACACCAAACAUAUAAACAAAAUACACAGUAAUAAUCUACACAUUAAAAUAAAAUCCUAGGAACAAGAAUCAUAAUUUUUCGAGUUAUAGAUUUUAAGUUAUGGAUUUUCAAAGGUUUUAUGUGUUUAGAAUAGGAUUAAGUGUGGGAUUAAUUGUCUUGCUGUUGUCAUGAUAAAACAGGGACACUAAGUGAUAGAGAAUUAAAUUACAAAAUUUUAGGAACUGGAAUGGAGUAAUUUGGACUAAAGAUUAAUUUUCUAUGAAUUUUAUAAGUUCUAGCACUCAUUUAUAUAUUAAAAAUCCAUUUAAAAUUUAAUUUCCCUGAUUUUACAAUGCUCUGGACUGGGCCUCAAUAUCUGAGAACAGCAGGGGUCUCGGGGUAAGUGUUUCUAAGACUCAGAGAACCCCAGGCAUGGACAACGGGUUUAUUCUAUAAACAUUGAGGGGCGCAUGUGCAAAUUUGACCCGUGAAGGGGUAUCGACAAAUCUCGGCCGCCCGAUCAAAAGAGGACGCUACGGAUUAGACCCUCAUCCUUAUAAACUAUCGUGCGAUCACAGCCAUCGGUUACAGACCUACGGUUCUGAUUUAAAGCCCUACGGUUUGAUCACAAGCGCACAACCGUAGAUCAACGGCCAUGGUGAGUCUCACCCAAUCGGUACAUCUAGUUAGAUCUGAACCGCACAUCGCACAUCGACGGUCAGAAACCCAUCUGCUUCCUCCCCCCCGACCACCAGCGGCGCCGCCGGCCGGAACACGGCGACCCAUGGCCGGACUACCUACGAUUCCACGCAUCGGAGCGCUAAUUCCAAAUUCAAACUACUCUACACAUCGACCGGUGAAACGCGAAGAAGAUGGUACACCGAUUACCUCUAUUCGCGGCGAAGAAUCCCCUGGCCGCGCGAUGGCGCAAUCCCGCGGUGGAGUCCCAACAACGGUGAGAAAUUCCGCCCGCACCGGUCGUUCGUAGCCACCGCACCUCCCUUUGCAACGCCCGCCGCGGCAACUCGAACACCCAGAGCUAUCCCCGGAAUGAAUGAGGGCGAGGAACGUCGAUUCCGAGCGGUGGCGGAAUCCCCUCGCCGCAGUAUGGCCGGAGUGAUGGACGAGAUGGAUGGUGGCGG